AUGCUGGCAGCAGGUCCGCCUCCUUCUGGGUACUCGUCGGCAUGUGAUUGGUGGAGCCAUAACUCCCCGAGGAACGGGGCGGGGUCCCGAGUCUGCAGCAGCCAGCGGAUUCUGGGACAGAGAGAAGCGACCAGAAUCACAGCCGGGGAGCCUGGGCCGAGCCCAACCGAACCGGCUUGGGAGAGCCCGUCUCUGCAGGGUGCAUGGAAGUCGACCGCCAGGUCCCGGAAUUGUAAGCAGCCAGGCGGCGCACCGCUUGACAAAGCGUCCCCGGAUCUUCAAUCCCAAGUAGCAAAAGUGCCUACCGCCUGUGAUGUCAUCACCUGUGGUGCCCUGCCUCCUGUGUGUGGCGCUGUGCUCUCUGCUGCCCCCUCUGGCCAGCGCCUCUGCUGUACCGUGCGACACCUGUCGCCAGCUCACCGCCAGCUUCCUGCGGGUAAAGGACUGACUUCCUCUGCGUGUCUCUGUCUCUCUCCCUGUCCCUCUCUCCCUGUCCCUCUCUCCCUGUCCCGGUCCCUGCCUUUGUCCCUGUCUCUCUUCCUGUCCCUCUCUCCCUCUCCCUGUCCCUGCCUUUGUCCCUGUCUCUCUUCCUGUCCCUCUCUCCCUCUCCCGGUCCCUGCCUAUUUCCCUGUCUCUCUUCCUGUCCCUCUCUCCCUCUCCUGGUCCCUGCCUAUUUCCCUGUCUCUCUUCCUGUCCCUCUCUCCCUCUCCCGGUCCCUACCUGUGUCCCUGUCUCUCUCUCCCUCUCCUGGUCCCUCUCCCUGUCCCUGCCUGUGUCCUUGUCUCUCUUACUGUGAAACUGUUCUGUCUCGUCAGCCACAGAUCUUCUGUUUCAGGGGAACUUCAUGCUCCAGCAGCUCAGUAUUCACUCCAGGUUUGUGACAGAGUUAGUGAAGUAGUCGCCUGUCCUCUCCCACACCUCCAGUCUGUCCUGGGACGCUCCUCCGCGGUCAGGAACUGCACUUGACCAGCAGCCACAGGAGACGGACGGAUUCGAGCCACUGCCACCCACGGGCAGUGUCCACUCCUGUUUCCCGCAGGCUGACCGGUCCAGUGUGCGCCUGCCUGAUGGCCCCAGUGCCUCUGGGUCCAUCAGCGGGACGAAACACCUCGUUGGUCUGGGAGUGGACAGAGGAAGCUGUCUAGGGGUCAGUCCAGGUGCUCAGCUCAGACUGCCCCUCGGCUUCCAGUCAGCAUCGCUGUUCCUUUUCCAGACACAGAUUCACCACAGAGCCUCACUGUUUCAAACGCUGGAAGCUCGUUAGAGACUUGUA
rnacentral:lncRNA from 1 species